ACUUAGUAUGUGUACCUGCAGUAUAUAUGAACCAAUAUCAAAUUAUACCUAGUAGACUUUAGGUUGGAAUCUAGUGAGUUUCGGCUUGCCCAUAAAAGAAUCUACUUAUAUUU